rnacentral:tRNA from 1 species
CGACGGGUGGGGCGGAGCAGGCCCGACGGCCCUUGCUGGGUGCCGGUUCGGGCGGCACGGGGCGCGGGCCCGGCGGUCCGGGCCGCCCGUGUCACC